rnacentral:rRNA from 1 species
GAUGAACGCUAGCCACAGGCUUAACACAUGCAAGUCGAGGGGUAACGAGAGGGAAGCUUGCUUUCCUUGUCGACGACCGGCGCACGGGUGAGUAACGCGUAUCCAACCUGCCCCCAACUAGGGAAUAACCUUGCGAAAGUAAGACUAAUACCCUAUAAUUUCCUCAGAUGUCAUCUGACGAGGAAUAAAGAUUUAUCGGUUGUGGAUGGGGAUGCGUCUGAUUAGCUUGUUGGCGGGGUAACGGCCCACCAAGGCAACGAUCAGUAGGGGUUCUGAGAGGAAGGUCCCCCACAUUGGAACUGAGACACGGUCCAAACUCCUACGGGAGGCAGCAGUGAGGAAUAUUGGUCAAUGGGCGGAAGCUUGAACCAGCCAAGUAGCGUGCAGGAUGACGGCCCUAUGGGUUGUAAACUGCUUUUAUACAGGAAUAAAGUUAGCCACGUGUGGUUAUUUGUAGGUACUGUAUGAAUAAGGACCGGCUAAUUCCGUGCCAGCAGCCGCAGUAA